rnacentral:rRNA from 1 species
UUAACUCCAUCAUGGCAGUGGAAACUGAAAGGCUUGAGUAUGGUAGGGGCAGAGGGAAUUCCCGGUGUAGCGGUGAAAUGCGUAGAUAUCGGGAAGAACACCAGUGGCGAAGGCGCUCUGCUGGGCCAUUACUGACGCUCAUGGACGAAAGCCAGGGGAGCGAAAGGGAUUAGAUACCCCUGUAGUCCUGGCCGUAAACGAUGAACACUAGGUGUCGGGGGAAUCGACCCCUUCGGUGUCGUAGCUAACGCGUUAAGUGUUCCGCCUGGGGAGUACGCACGCAAGUGUGAAACUCAAAGGAAUUGACGGGGGCCCGCACAAGCGGUGGAGUAUGUGGUUUAAUUCGAUGCAACGCGAAGAACCUUACCAGGGUUUGACAUCCUGCGAACCUCUUAGAAAUUUGAGGGUGCCUUCGGGAAUGCAGUGACAGGUGGUGCAUGGCUGUCGUCAGCUCGUGUCGUGAGAUGUUGGGUUAAGUCCCGCAACGAGCGCAACCCACGUUUUUAGUUGCCAGCAUUUAGUUGGGCACUCUAGAAAGACCGCCGGUGAUAAACCGGAGGAAGGUGUGGAUGACGUCAAGUCAUCAUGCCCCUUACACCCUGGGCUACACACGUACUACAAUGCUACGGACAAAGGGCAGCAAACUCGCGAGAGCUAGCAAAUCCCAUAAACCGUGGCUCAGUUCAGAUCGUAGGCUGCAACUCGCCUACGUGAAGUAGGAAUCGCUAGUAAUCGCAGGUCAGCAUACUGCGGUGAAUACGUUCCCGGGCCUUGUACACACCGCCCGUCACACCAUGGAAGUUGGCCAUGCCCGAAGUCGUUACUCCAACCCUUGUGGAGGAGGACGCCGAAGGUGGGGCUAAUGACUGG